GCAAGUCGAGCGGACCGACGGGAGCUUGCUCCCUUAGGUCAGCGGCGGACGGGUGAGUAACACGUGGGUAACCUGCCUGUAAGACUGGGAUAACUCCGGGAAACCGGGGCUAAUACCGGAUGCUUGAUUGAACCGCAUGGUUCAAUCAUAAAAGGUGGCUUUUAGCUACCACUUGCAGAUGGACCCGCGGCGCAUUAGCUAGUUGGUGAGGUAACGGCUCACCAAGGCGACGAUGCGUAGCCGACCUGAGAGGGUGAUCGGCCACACUGGGACUGAGACACGGCCCAAACUCCUACGGGAGGCAGCAGUAGGGAAUYYUCCGCAAUGGACGAAAGUCUGACGGARCAMCGCCGCGUGAGUGAUGAAGGUUUUCGGAUCGUAAAACUCUGUUGUUAGGGAARAACAAGUACCGUUCGAAUAGGGCGGUACCUUGACGGUACCUAACCAGAAAGCCACGGCUAACUACGUGCCAGCAGCCGCGGUAAUACGUAGGUGGCAAGCGUUGUCCGGAAUUAUUGGGCGUAAAGCGCGCGCAGGCGGUUUCUUAAGUCUGAUGUGAAAGCCCCCGGCUCAACCGGGGAGGGUCAUUGGAAACUGGGGAACUUGAGUGCAGAARARGARAGUGGAAUUCCACGUGUAGCGGUGAAAUGCGUAGAGAUGUGGAGGAACACCAGUGGCGAAGGCGACUCUCUGGUCUGUAACUGACGCUGAGGCGCGAAAGCGUGGGGAGCGAACAGGAUUAGAUACCCUGGUAGUCCACGCCGUAAACGAUGAGUGCUAAGUGUUAGAGGGUUUCCGCCCUUUAGUGCUGCAGCAAACGCAUUAAGCACUCCGCCUGGGGAGUACGGUCGCAAGACUGAAACUCAAAGGAAUUGACGGGGGCCCGCACAAGCGGUGGAGCAUGUGGUUUAAUUCGAAGCAACGCGAAGAACCUUACCAGGUCUUGACAUCCUCUGACAACCCUAGAGAUAGGGCUUCCCCUUCGGGGGCAGAGUGACAGGUGGUGCAUGGUUGUCGUCAGCUCGUGUCSUGARAUGUUGGGUUAAGUCCCGCAACGAGCGCAACCCUUGAUCUUARUUGCCAGCAUUCAGUUGGGCACUCUAAGGKGACUGCCGGUGACAAACCGGAGGAAGGUGGGGAUGACGUCAAAUCAUCAUGCCCCUUAUGACCUGGGCUACACACGUGCUACAAUGGGCAGAACAAAGGGCAGCGAAGCCGCGAGGCUAAGCCAAUCCCACAAAUCUGUUCUCAGUUCGGAUCGCAGUCUGCAACUCGACUGCGUGAAGCUGGAAUCGCUAGUAAUCGCGGAUCAGCAUGCCGCGGUGAAUACGUUCCCGGGCCUUGUACACACCGCCCGUCACACCACGAGAGUUUGUAACACCCGAAGUCGGUGAGGUAACCUUUGG
rnacentral:rRNA from 1 species